UGAAACAUUCUUUUCUUGUUUCUUAUUUUAUGCUAACUGAUCCAUGCGUCACCUUCAGCUCAUGUCUGCCACAGCUUCUCCAAGGUAGCUUUUAGUUUUAUGGGAUGAAAUCAUUUUACAGGCAGUGAUUCUGCUGGUUCUAAACACGCUGUACUUCCAGCAUCACAGCAGACGUGGAAGCGUGGCUGUACUCCCACAGACUGCUCCUUUCUCCUCUGGUUUGUGUGCAGCAGAGCGGUGUGAUGCUGAGAGGCCUCCUGCUGCUCUCUGGUCUGACUGAUGCUGUGACUCUGAAAUUAAAGCUGCAGACGGAGCAUCAUCAGCUCUGCUCCUCCUCACUGGGAGCAACAGAAAGGAAACGAUGUGGCAGUAGUUGUCGGGCGACGUGAAGAUCAGGAAAAUACAAAAGAAUGUUUGUGUGGCAACUUUUCAGAAGGGAUCAGCUGAUCUGCAGCAGAGGUCCUCGACUGUUUGGAGCAACACGAAUGGAAAAAAGAUGUUUGGACAAGAGAGAGUUCUGGCAGUCUGAUCAGAGGCUUAUCAUGCUGCCACUGAGGAGCUUCAGCCAUCUUCUGUUUUUAUUCCUUCUUCAACAGAUCUGAAGAUGUGAAGUCUUUUGGAAACCUGCAGAUCAGACGGGAUUCAUCUUCACUGAGAGUUCUUUUAUAUUUAUCCCAGCAUCCUCUCCGCAGAGCUGAUUAGAGGCCCCUUUCCUGUAGCAGAGGACAAGACAAGGACGACACGCUCCCCGUCUGCCAGCAGAGCUCUUAGAUUCAGCCGGUCUGGCCGAGGCGGAGGCUGCAGCGCGAUGAAGACGGAUGGUCCAAUCCUGCGGGGGAAAGGUCAAGGAGGAGGUUCAGCAGGUUGUUCCUGUUGGCACUAGAGGGCGCCACAUAGCAGGACUCCAGACCGUCACACUGCACCUCAGAUGUGAAGUUUUUUCAUCCGUCUGGUCAGUUAAAACCUGCACCGUGUCGUGUGCUUUGUCUGAUGAUAAUUAUGUUUCUUUUUGUGGUAUUAUGUUUUCAUAAUAACCAACCAGUUCUACUUGUGUUUGUCCCAAAAACCCUGAAACCUAAAACAUUUCCUGAGCAGCUGAGGAGCUUUGUUCCCAAGUAAAGAGCUGCUGGUUCUGAGUUAAAAUCCACAGGAUGAUCGCAGCAAAUCAUGCAUGUAAGUGUAGCGUCACUCAGCUGCGUGUCUUAUCCCACUUUAAGGAUAAACCCUCCAAAAUCCCACUUUAUUGGAGAUGUGAGACGCUGGCGUGGAGUGUUUGUGGUGGUGGCAUCUCAGCAGGUUUCAUCGCCCGCUCCCGUCAUCCAGACUCAGAUCUGCCUCUUGACCUUUGCGCCACGUCUUCCUUUUCUUACACUCACUCUCUAAUGAAAAGGAAACGCUAUAAAUGUCAUCAGCUUAAGACGAAAUUAUAAAAGGUCGCCCCCAUAAACAGUUUGAGCCUCCUGUGGCGGCUCAAUCAUUCCCUGGAGAAACAGAAGUGAGUGCACCUCUGUGCAAAAUCACUUAAAUGUCAAAUGAUUCCACCUCUCAGUAAUUACAUUAUUUCUAAGUUAAACGGUGCAACAAUCCAAAGCAUUCACUUUAGAAAAUAUAGGAUCCAAAGUAGAAACUCAGUGAUACUAAACUGAACACACCUUUAAUUUCCAGUCUGCUCAUUUGAACUCCAGAACUUCCUCCCAGUCUCAGCUGUUUCUCUGCGUGUCUUCAUCAUGGCUCCACAUGGGGAAAAAAAUUACCAGAAGAAUUGAAAAAGCCGAUGAUGAGAUUUCACAACGAUGGAAAGGGAUACAGUUGGAGUAAGCCACUAAAAAAAUACAAUUUCAGCAGUAAUCGAGGUAUAAAACGAGUCCUAGGACCACUAAUCAGGGCUGCAGGGGUCAUCCUCCCAAAAUCUGAUUUGUUUUUUCUCUGAAAGAACAAAACAAACAAACAAUAACAAUCCAAAAGCACUAAUAAGAACAUUGUUAAGCACCAGCCCGAUAAGCAGUAUGGGUAAAAGUAUAUUUGAAAUCAAUAGUCUGGCUGCUAGAGAACCAAAGAAUUAUCAUAAAACUAUAGAAAAUGUCAAUAUAAUAAAAAUUGAAUAGUUUUACACAUUUAAAUAUUAAUUGGAAAAAGUUUCUAGACCCAGUUUGACAUGAUCUUGUGUGUAUUUUUUGGCUUUUUAUGUGUAAUGAUGUCAGGCUGGCUGCUGACAGCUCUGGCUACUGCCUCCUCCCCUUUUUCCUUUUUAGGUGUCUGCACCUUGUGGCUCGUUUGUAAUCAGCUGCUGGAUUUGGAGCACGUGAGGUCUCAGCCAAUCAGCUUCACCUCCUCUGCUACAAGAACAGACGCCACUCGUUGCUCCAUGCUGGAUGGUGAAACCACCUUCCCUGUUCCACCUGCACCUACCGUACUCCAUCUGGGCUUCCUCCAUUCCUCACCUGGAUCUUUCCACGGCCACCUGGAAAGCCACCUACCGUCUCCAUUGUUCCGUCCAGCGUUCACAACCAUCGACCCCCACCGCUGCAACCCCUCCCCGGACUCUCACUCCAGCCAAAGCCCAGUCUGAGCAUCUUUGAGUUCUUUGAAGCUUUCGUUGUAGCUAAGUUAAUUCCUAGCAAGUUGAUUUUGUUUCGUUAUCUCUCCUUCUAGAGUUUGUAGUAACAAGCCAGAGGCUUCUCUUUCAGUUAAUUUACCAGCCUUGUUUUUGUGUAUUUAGUUUAGCCCCAGUUCUUGCCUGGGUGUUACACACCGUGAGUUCUGGUCACCGGUUAGUCUUCUCAGCCACUAGUAGCAGUAGAGUGCAGACUUACUUUCUUCUUGUUUUUGCCUGUUAGCCUUCCGCCUGCGAGCUAAUUCUUUUUUCGACAUUGUACCUUGGCAAUAAAGCCUCUUAAACUUAACACGCUGCAUGCCAGUCCAUUCUCUGCACCUGAGCUCUCAUUCCAAAUCCGGACAAAUGAUGAAUAUUUUUAUGUGUAAAACAGUUAAAUGACCUACAAACAUGGUUGAUUAAUGCUAAAAUGCUGUUUAUAUUUGGGUUUUACUGGAGAAUUUUGUGUUAAUAAAACCCUACAAAGAA